UAUAAAGUAUGACAUAUGAUCUUUGAUAAUACAUUGCCUCAUUAAAAACCAUUAUGAGAAACUACGGAAGAAAACUCAUAAGGGAAAAGAGUGCAUCUGACAUGCCAUUGAAAACUCCUUUAAAACCCAGUGGGAAAAAUAUAAGGAGAAAAUGAUAUGGCAUACACAAACAUUUGUGUUUAUAUUGUCUCGUUAAAAACCUUUUAUGAGAAACCAUUAGGGAAAACUCAUCAAGGGGAAAAGAGUACAAUAUAUGCAAUCUGAUGAUUGUUAAUAGGUUAUAGUUUGGGAGAUUACUCCCCCUGAACUUUGCAAAUAUGGAGGAUGUCUCAUACCAAUUUCAUUGAUAUGAACAUAAGAUUGUGUAUAAUCUGUUGGAUUUUCACAUGAUUUUGUUUGCAAAUUAUUUUCUCACUUUUCUAUAAUCCAUGAGGAUAAGUAGUUUCCGAGCAAUGUUAUUUAUGAUAUUGCUCUUCAUAUAACCUGUAGGUAUUGAGUAACACAAGUGAAAGUAUCUCGAUAAAUCAAGUUAUGUGAUUCUGAUGAAUCUCAACCACAUGAUUUUGAGUGUGCUUGAUCAUUCUGCCAAGCCAUGCAUAUUUUGCAAUGCUUUUAGAUAAAACAAUUAUUUUAGAAUGAUAAUUGGGAAUAACCAUUAAAGUCCAUUUAGAUGACUUCCAUACGGAGGCUAUUCCAACAAAUUCAGUCAUUGAUAUGGCGUCAUUGGGAUCAAAUAAAGAGCCAAUAUCAUCAUAUCACAUCAUGGUCAUAUCUUGUAUUUCCUGAUGGAAUUGUCCAAUAUUUAUUGUGAGCUUACGAUAUAAGAUGAUAUUCCAUAUAUCAAGCAAGAGGCGAGGCAAGAGGUGAAUAUAAGAUUUGAGGACCAUGGCUGAUGGUAGAUAUCGCCGCAUCUGGAGCCUCACGUCGUGGCUGCCUGGUUGUAGUCUGCACUAUGAUUGGAGGACUGAUGCUUCUACGUGCAUCCUUGAUGAGUUUUUUUACUGCAGUUAUGGUGAGCAGCAGUGGUCGCUAGUAUUCAAUGAAUUAGAAAUAAACAUGGUACCUUCUUCUUCCCUUGGCAUGACUGAAUGAUACGUUGUAUUCAUCUCACCAUGUCCAUAUGUUUGGAUGAAGGGAUCCACUGCUUGCAGUACAUGAUUUAUCCAUUCUUCCUUUAUCUUGAUCAAUUUCAGUGAACAGAUUCAUGUAGGGCAUUCCUAAGAAAAAAAUAUUUAAAGUAUUGAUCUUAAUCACAAGAAGGCAAUAAAUUAACGUUUCCCUGAUCAAUUUCCUGUAGGAACGUGUGUAUGUAGAUUUUCUGUAGGAGACUAAGGAUGCAUGCAUGCCCGCCUUUGCUUCCUCCAUUGUACCGUUGGAAGCAGCGCUGGAUCGUCUCACGCCCGCUCGAUACUUGCACUGGCUUGUGCAGCGGUUUCGUGGCCGAAAUCCACCGUGUAAGGUUCAUCUUCACGCGUUGCCGCCGGCUAGAUUCCAGCGUGUUUUCUGUAUGCCAUUACUCUUUUUUGGUAGAGUCUAAGUGUUGAUAACGUGUUUGAAGUAAAAAGUAAAGAACGAGAGAGAUGAAUGAAAGAUGAUUCAUUAGUC
rnacentral:lncRNA from 1 species